rnacentral:snRNA from 1 species
GUGCUCGCUUCAGCAGCGCAUAUACUAAAAUUGGAAUGAUACAGAGAUAAGUCUGGCCCCUGCACAAGGAUAACAUGCAAAUUCAUAAAGCAUUCCUUAUUAAA